GAUGAACGCUGGCGGCGUGCCUAAUACAUGCAAGUCGAGCGAAUGGAUUAAGAGCUUGCUCUUAUGAAGUUAGCGGCGGACGGGUGAGUAACACGUGGGUAACCUGCCCAUAAGACUGGGAUAACUCCGGGAAACCGGGGCUAAUACCGGAUAACAUUUUGAACCGCAUGGUUCGAAAUUGAAAGGCGGCUUCGGCUGUCACUUAUGGAUGGACCCGCGUCGCAUUAGCUAGUUGGUGAGGCAACGGCUCACCAAGGCAACGAUGCGUAGCCGACCUGAGAGGGUGAUCGGCCACACUGGGACUGAGACACGGCCCAGACUCCUACGGGAGGCAGCAGUAGGGAAUCUUCCGCAAUGGACGAAAGUCUGACGGAGCAGCGCCGCGUGAGUGAUGAAGGCUUUCGGGUCGUAAAACUCUGUUGUUAGGGAAGAGCAAGUGCUAGUUGAAUAAGCUGGCACCUUGACGGUACCUAACCAGAAAGCCACGGCUAACUACGUGCCAGCCGCCGCAGUAA
rnacentral:rRNA from 1 species